AAAUCAAACUUUUGGAUAUAUAUUUCAAUAUAGAGUAUAUAGUUAUAAUUGAUUAAAUAAGCUAUGAGGAAAACAGAAAGCUAGUGCGCGGACAGUUGUAAGAGUUAGAUUGAUAAGUAUGCCGUGGCGUACGUGUAGGGAUAUGCAUAGUCCUGGAGAUGAGUGAGAAAUCGCCGCGUAGCAUGUGCCAUGUAGGUAGCAGCCUCAGAGGUUGAAGACCAACUCGUAUAUAAUCAUAUACUAUAUUCCUUGCUGCUUUUCCCAAAACUAAGUGGUAUCCAUCCAUUUUUGAGCAACAAAUCUUCCUCCAGAAAAGAAAGCAGCUGUAAGUUGAUAUAAUCCGUCCAUCCAUCUUUAAAUAUGUUUGUAUACGUGGUAUGUAUGUUCUUAAUGUUAGAAAAUGGAAAAUUUGAGUCAUAUUUUAUAUAUGUUCUUGAUGUAAUUUCCGGAAACUAAUAGUUGGAGGUUGUUCCUUGCUAUGAGGACUUAAACUUUCGUACUUGGAUCUAAGAUAUUUUCUUAGUGAAAUCCAUAAAUUUAUUGAGGCAAAGUUGCUCAGUUGAAAUGGGUUAUGUGGAUUUAGUCCCACAUUGAUUUUGUAAAAGGAUAUUAUGGAGUUUAUAUAGCAUCUUGUAUAAGUGUGUUUACAACUACUAAUACAAGUGGAAUGCUUGUGUGGCCUAGUGUUAGUAAAAACUUCUAUAUCUUUUUCACGUUUAUUUAUAUAGAUUAUUUUAUUAUUAAUAUUAAAUAUAUUGAGUCGAGAUUAUUUUAAAUAAUCAGACUCUGAAUAUAUUAUAAAAUAUUAAUAUUAAGUAAUUUGAACAAUAUAAAUAAUGAACAAAACCUGUUUUGUUUUGUUUUUACUAUUUUGUGACUUGAUCCCACAUCGAGUAAAAUAGUAAGAGAGCAACUACUUGUCCCUAUGUAAAGAGAAGGACACUUGAGAUUUUUUUUAAGGGAGAAUUCUCUAAGUGCCUAUCUUGCAAACGUGAAUUAGUUGCAAAGAUUUUUUGGGCAAAUUGAGAAUUUUCUAAGUAGGAUCUCUCAGUGCCUAUCUUGCAAACGUAUAUGAGUUGCAUAGAUUUUUGGGCGAAUUGAGGUGCUAGUCGUUGUUGAUCGUUUCCGUGUCUGUGAGCGGUUCGGUCUGUGCUGUUUUAUCCUGGGAGCGAUAUUGCGACACCCAUCACAGCGGAGUGGGGCAAUAAUCACUUCAAGAACAGCCUAGUCUUCAUCGAAGGGCUAGGUGACUCAGCUGUUCAGUGCUCUUUUUCGAGCGACGGUCUAAGGGCUAGGUGACUUAGCUGUUCAGUGCUCUUUUUCGAGCGUCGGUGUAAGUUGUUUGGCUGAGGACAAGAAGAAUACUUGAAGAGAACAAAGGGCACAAACUAUCAUUUAUGGGGUGACAUAUAGUUUGUGAUGAAGGUGCUAUGUUAACUAAUACACCAGCAGAUUUCGAUAGAUCUAGCACACAUCUACUUGCGAUGGUUUUUCAUCAACUCUUUAGUAAGUCUCUCUAUCAACUUUUGCACUUGUAUGAUCCUUCUAAAUAUAUAUGUCAGGUCCUGUUUGAAAUAAUAGCCUUUCCUUUCUCAGACCAACUAUCCAACAAAAGGCUUCGAUACUAAGAUUGUGCAACUAAUCACAGUGUGUUCGCAAAUGUAUAGGCCAACUGCUUUCACACUUUGCCACCCGAGAAGUGAAGAGAACAUAUACUUGAGGUAGCCAGGCU